CUAACUGUGUAUAUUUUUAAUUUUUUUAAAGGCAAAUCCAAAAUCAAAAGCAUAUAUGGUGAAAAGCAAGUCCAUUCCUGGUCCUAAUCACCAGCUCUCCCCUUCAAAUUCAAACACUUUUACCAGUUUCUUGUAUGUUUCUUUCUUUUUCAGAGCCAGAUCUCUGUCAUUUUAAUAAGUGACUUCUAAUCUGGUGUGUUUGGGACACCCUAAGUCCAUUGUAAUAAGUUGAAGUAGCUAGAAAAGUUCAUUUGGCUAUUCAUGAGUUGUAUAAAAUGCAUUUAGUUGGAUUCUAUCAUGGAUAUUAUACUUAGAUUCAUUCAUUUAACCAUCAUUUACAAAGGCCUACGAUGUGCGUGGCCCAGUCAGUGGUGAACAAUGAACCCAGCUCACAGAAGCUCAUGGUCUAAUAGAAGAAACAGCGGCUUUCAGCCCAAGUGCUAUCAGAAAGUUGUGCACAGGGUGCCACAGCAGUUCAUUGGCACUGGAGUUUUUAGAUUACUGUGGGUACUGAUGCUACCUCUUCAGUAUUGCACUGGCCACCGAUUGCACUGUGGAUUUUUCUGAAACAAGAUUUUCAGUUGGGCUGUUAAUUGUUUUUUUUUUUUUUCCUCCCUCAUUUUGAAGAAGCUCUUUUAUAUUAGGAAGGUAAGCUCUUUAGUAAUAUGAGCUAUAAGUAUUUUUAUCUCACCUUAUCAUUUGUAUUUUGAUUUGCCUGUGGUGGCUUUUGCUGCAGCAGUUUUUUGUUUGUUUGUUUGUUUGUUUGUUUGUUUGUUUGUUUUGUAGUUGAAUUCAUCAAUAUUUUCUUUUAUGGCUUUCGGGUUUGGCUUAUAGCUAGGAAGGACAACUAUCUUCAGGAUUACCAAGAGAAUAACUUACUUUUCUGCCAGGGCUUGAGUACUUUGUCAUUGUUUGUCUUCAAAUCUUUUAUCCAUUUCAAAUUUGUCCUGGUGUAAGAUAUGAGUUUUCCUCCUAAAAUGGUACCCAGUUAUCUCAAUAUCCAGCACUGAAUUGCUCAUAGUUCCAUACUCCCUUGUGAUGUCAUUUGUAUCCCAUAUGUAUUUGGAUCAAUUUCUACACUUUUAUUUUUUAACAUAUAUA